GGGGUUGUGGCUCAGCGACAGAGUGCUCGUCUGGCAUGCGCGAGGCCCUGGGUUUGAUCCUCAGCACCACA
rnacentral:tRNA from 1 species